GGAGGGCGCCGGGUCGUCGCGGCGCGCAAGCGUCGAGGAACGUCCGGGCUCCAUCGGGCAGGGUGCAGGAUAACGUCCUGUCGGGGAAACUCGAAGGAAAGUGCCACAGAAACAUACCGCCGGGGGCUUCGGCCCACGGUAAGGGUGAAAUCGUGCGGUAAGAGCGCACGGCGUUCCGCGGUGACGCGGGCGCGGGUAAACCCCACCUGGAGCAAGACCGCUCGAAUACCGGACACGAGCUCUAUACGAGCUCGUCGAAGGACGCCGGCCCGGCGUAACGAGCAAUGUCGCACCGAGGUACGCCGUGAGGCGUGCCCCAGAGAGAUGACGACCACGGCCUUUUCGGAGGCUUGGACAGAAUCCGGCGUACAGGCGUCCUCCGCGC
rnacentral:RNase_P_RNA from 1 species